rnacentral:misc_RNA from 1 species
AAGUCGUAACAAGGUUUCCGUAGGUGAACCUGCGGAAGGAUCAUUACCUAGAGUUGUAGGCUUUGCCUGCUAUCUCUUACCCAUGUCUUUAAGUACCUUACGUUUCCUCGGCGUCCGGUCCCCGGCCCGCAUUGGACAAUUUGAAACCAAUUUGCAAGUCGUCAACUCAGCGUCUGAAAAAACUUAAUAGUUAACAA